AUAAUUAAAAUAAGGAUAUAUAAAGUUACACGAAGUUAAGGGAGCUAGUUGUUAUAGUUUGUUAGAAUUUAAGGUGUAGCAAAACUUGAAGUUAAUGGUAACUAGGAGUGAUAGGCUUUUCACAUUUAACGAUAACUUGAUUUCCCAGAAAUUUAUUAAGUAUAAGACAUUUUAGGAGUGAGAAGGCUCUUGAAUAUCACAAAUUGUUUAUAAUAUUUAUCAGUAGUAUAAUUACUAGUGAUCAAGUAUACUAAGAUACCUGUAUAUUAUGUUGUUUAAAGUAAGGGAAAGUGUAUUAAUAGUAAGGUAUAUUUAUAAUGUUAUUAUUAGUAAUUAUAUAGAGGUGCAUUAAAUGAACUCGGCAAAAGGCCCCUUAACUGUUUAUCAAAAACAUAGUCACGUGAAUAUGCGUAUGUGAUGAUUUCUGCUCAAUGAUAAUUAAAUAGCCGCAGUACCUUGACUGUGCAAAGGUAGCGCAAUCAAUUGACUUUUAAUUGAAGUCCUGUAUGAAGGAAUAUAUAGGGAGUCACUGUCUCUGAUGUAUUUAAUAAACUUCCUUAGUAAGUGAAAAUUCUUACAUUUAAAUAAUAGACGAGAAGACCCUAGAAAUUUUAAGAAUAAUGUAUAGAUAAUCUUUUUGUUGGGGCAACAUAGUAACAAAUAAUUUACUAAGUUACAUGAAGAGUAUAUUUUGAAAGGGUAAUUACUCUAGGGAUAACAGCAUAAUUUUUAAUAGUUUGUGACCUCGAUGUUGGAUUAGGGGGUUAACGUUUAAAAG
rnacentral:rRNA from 1 species